AACAACAAAAAAUACUAGCCUUGUCUACUUUAACACCAUUGUCUUCUUUCAGGCUGGAAACAAUGCAGCGAAGCCUAGAGUGGGCAAAGGGGUACGCUCUUAAAUGUUGCUUCAGCAGACGGCCUGAUAGCUGAAGUGUCCGAGCUCAUGCAGGAGAGUCGCACCCAUGGUCGGCAUGCACAACCAGGUGGGAACCAUUUCAGUGGGGCCAGUUCCGGUUACCAGGCUCCAUUGACUUGGAGUGGAGCUAGAGGUGCUCCUCAUUAUCACAUCACCGGAGAGCAACUGAGGGGUCUGAUGAUAGAUGGCAGAUAUUCUUCACGUGUUCCAUUCUACACUCAAACCACAUCUAAGGCACUUUGCAUUAACCUGAAGGCAGCUGCCUUCCCAUCAAUGUUGCAGAGGCUGCACAGAAGGUACAGUGUUGCUGCUCUGAAUUCUUUAUAACACAUCGAUGGAAACUACAGACUGAAGGU